CCUACGGGUGGCAGCAGUGAGGAAUAUUGGUCAAUGGGCGAGAGCCUGAACCAGCCACGUCGCGUGAAGGAUGAAGGAUCUCUGGGUUGUAAACUUCUUUUAUAUGGGAAUAAAGUGAGGAACGUGUUCCUUUUUGUAUGUACAAUAUGAAUAAGCAUAGGCUAACUCCGUGCCAGCAGCCGCGGUAAUCCGGAGGAUGCGAGCGUUAUCCGGAUUUAUUGGGUUUAAAGGGUGCGUAGGUGGUGAUUUAAGUCAGCGGUGAAAGUUUGGGGCUCAACCAUAAAAUUGCCGUUGAAACUGGUUGACUUGAGUGUAGGUGAGGUAGGCGGAAUGCGUGGUGUAGCGGUGAAAUGCAUAGAUAUCACGCAGAACUCCGAUUGCGAAGGCAGCUUACUAAACUAUAACUGACACUGAAGCACGAAAGCGUGGGGAGCAAACAGGAUUAGAUACCCUAGUAGUC
rnacentral:rRNA from 1 species